UCGGUGCUCCGGCCUUUCUGGCGCGCUCGGGGCGACCCGCCAGGAGGAGCCUCCCCGCCCCCUCUCCUCUGGAGAGUUUUCGGCGGAUCCAGAGUCGGCGCUCCAAGGGGAGCCGCUGCUUUCAACAUGUCCGCGUCUGGCGCGCGGAAGGCUUGCCACUGCGGAUGAUGCGUGCGGGGCCUCCCAACAUGGCACACGGCACCUGCCAGUACUUGCCCUGGCACCUGCAAAGCUAUUCAGAAAGUGGAUGGGGCCGUUGUAAAGCAGGACUUGUUACUGACUGCCCUCAUCCAAAGGAAAGGGUUUUCCAUGGUGGUAAGAGCAGGCACAACCACUAGAGGAUCAGGAGGACUGGAUGAAUCAGGGCCUGGUUGAAAGACAGCCAGCAACUCCUACAAAGAUACCCUUCAUUCUGUGAUAAGAGAUAAGCAGUAGCUGGGCCAUGAUUUUGUUGGAAAUAGCAAUGUCUGGUGUACAACAGCAGCAAGAAGGAAGAAAAGCCUACCAUGCAGGGGGCAGCAAGGAUCACUUAGUUAGGACAGUGAGAGCAGCAUCUCUCUUGUUUCUUGGAGGGUCAUUUCCUUGUCUUGUCUCCUAUUGGGCUAAAUGGCAAUAUCCUGCUUCUCUCUCCUGCCACACUUCUUCUCUCUCUCUGCAAGAUGUAGUCAGAUAGCAAGGAUCUCUUUCUCCCUCUUUCCUAUCAAGUAUGUAACUUCCUCAAAUAAA